rnacentral:rRNA from 1 species
AACGAACGCUGGCGGCAUGCCUAACACAUGCAAGUCGAACGAGAUCUUCGGGUCUAGUGGCGCACGGGUGCGUAACGCGUGGGAAUCUGCCCUUUGGUUCGGAAUAACAGUUGGAAACGACUGCUAAUACCGGAUGAUGACGAAAGUCCAAAGAUUUAUCGCCAGAGGAUGAGCCCGCGUAGGAUGAGCUAGUUGGUGUGGUAAAGGCGCACCAAGGCGACGAUCCUUAGCUGGUCUGAGAGGAUGGUCAGCCACACUGGGACGGAGACAUGGCCCAGACUCCUACGGGAGGCAGCAGUGGGGAAUAUUGGACAAUGGGCGAAAGCCUGAUCCAGCAAUGCCGCGUGAGUGAUGAAGGCCUUAGGGUUGUAAAGCUCUUUUACCCGGGAUGAUAAUGACAGUACCGGGAGAAUAAGCUCCGGCUAACUCCGUGCCAGCCGCCGCCGUAA